rnacentral:rRNA from 1 species
UACAGAGGAUGCAAGCGUUAUCCGGAAUGAUUGGGCGUAAAGCGUCUGUAGGUGGCUUUUUAAGUCCGCCGUCAAAUCCCAGGGCUCAACUCUGGACAGGCGGUGGAAACUACCAAGCUGGAGUACGGUAGGGGCAGAGGGAAUUUCCGGUGGAGCGGUGAAAUGCGUAGAGAUCGGAAAGAACACCAACGGCGAAAGCCAUCUGGUGGGCCGACACUGACACUGAGAGACGAAAGCUAGGGGAGCGAAUGGG